rnacentral:rRNA from 1 species
AUUGAACGCUGGCGGCAGGCUUAACACAUGCAAGUCGAGCGGGGUGAUGGUGCUUGCACUAUCACUUAGCGGCGGACGGGUGAGUAAUGCUUAGGAAUCUGCCUAUUAGUGGGGGACAACAUCUCGAAAGGGAUGCUAAUACCGCAUACGUCCUACGGGGGAAAGCAGGGGAUCACUUGUGACCUUGCGCUAAUAGAUGAGCCUAAGUCGGAUUAGCUAGUUGGGGGGGUAAAGGCCUACCAAGGCGACGAUCUGUAGCGGGUCUGAGAGGAUGAUCCGCCAAACGGGGACGGAGACACGGCCCAGACGCCUACGGAAGGCAGCAGUGGGGAAUAUUGGACAAUGGGGGGAACCCUGAUCCAGCCAUGCCGCGUGUGUGAAGAAGGCCUUAUGGUUGUAAAGCACUUUAAGCGAGGAGGAGGCUCUUUUGGUUAAUACCCAAGAUGAGUGGACGUUACUCGCAGAAUAAGCACCGGCUAACUCUGUGCCAGCCGCCGCGGUAA